UACGUAGGGACCAAGCGUUGUUCGGAUUUACUGGGCGUAAAGGGCGCGUAGGCGGCGUGGUAAGUCAAUUGUGAAAUCUCCGAGCUUAACUCGCAACGGUCAAUUAAUACUGCUGUGCUAGAGUACAGAAGGGGCAAUCGGAAUUCUUGGUGUAGCGGUGAAAUGCGUAGAUAUCAAGAGGAACACCUGAGGUGAAGACGGGUUGCUGGGCUGAUACUGACGCUGAUGCGCGAAAGCUAGGGUAGCAAACGGG
rnacentral:rRNA from 1 species